rnacentral:rRNA from 1 species
GUUGUAGCCUGGAGAAGUGCUUUCCGCGCUGGACCGUGUAUAAGUCUCUUGGAACAGAGCGUCAUAGAGGGUGAGAAUCCCGUCUUUGACACGGACUACCAGUGCUUUGUGAUGCGCUCUCAAAGAGUCGAGUUGUUUGGGAAUGCAGCUCAAAAUGGGUGGUGAAUUCCAUCUAAAGCUAAAUAUUGGCGAGAGACCGAUAGCGAACAAGUACCGUGAGGGAAAGAUGAAAAGCACUUUGGAAAGAGAGUUAAACAGUACGUGAAAUUGCUGAAAGGGAAACGCUUGAAGUCAGUCGCGUCUUCCGGAACUCAGCCUUCCUUUUGGUUGGUGCACUUUCCGGUAGACGGGCCAGCAUCGAUUUCGACCGUCGGAAAAGGGCUGGGGAAAUGUGGCACCUUUCGGGGUGUGUUAUAGUCCUCAGUCGCAUACGUCGGUUGGGAUCGAGGAUCGCAGCGCGCCGCAAGGCAGGGGUUCGCCCACUUUCGCGCUUAGGAUGCUGGCAUAAUGGCUUUAAACGACCCGUCUUGAAACACGGACCAAGGAGUCUAACAAACCUGCGAGUGUUUGGGUGGAAAACCCGAGCGCGUAAUGAAAGUGAAAGUUGAGACCUCUGUCGUGGAGGGCAUCGACGCCCGGACCUGACGUUCUCUGACGGAUCCGCGGUAGAGCAUGUUUGUUGGGACCCGAAAGAUGGUGAACUAUGCCUGAAUAGGGUGAAGCCAGAGGAAACUCUGGUG